rnacentral:sRNA from 1 species
GGAGAAACAUCUUGCUUGAAAAUAUCUGCGUAGAUGAGUACAGAAUCCAAGACUAGAACCACAGAUAUCUAAACUCUGUCAUUCAUUGGGUUUCUAAAACAUUGCUCUAAGGAAGAGGUGGAUGGGGGAAGGGGAAAGCACUAAAAAGUCCUGAAAUAGAGCAUUAAGAUACAUAGGAAGUAAACAGAAAAAAAUUACAAUCCAGGAAUUAUAAUAUUAUAGAAUUUUAGCUCAUUUUAAAAUUAUUUUGAUAAAUAUACAGUGGAAGAAUUACCCUACCUGUCUAUCACCUUUCUUGUAGCUAAGUAGUACCUAGAGACAAGUAGAGCUAGGAGGAAGCCAUGGGGGUAAUUUUAAGUUGAAAGGUGACUACCUUAUAUAAACUACUAAAAUGCGUAUGUUGCCUGAUUUCAAUGAUAAUAUUUGGCUGUUUGAGUUUAGGGGGAAAAAAUCUUAUGUGACUGUAUUUUUAUUAAUAUGAGAAAUGUUCUUGAUUAUAUGCACAUAAUACAUCUCUAUACAUGCAGAUAUCCUUAGUUAACACUUGAAGAAAAUUGGUUUUGAUUGACCAUACAUUCUUCAGACUAAAGUAGGGUACUCAUUUUCCCUCCUCAGGUUUGUCCCUGAUAGUUGCUUUUCUGUGUUUAGCUGAUGAUUUUCCUACCUCCCAUUGUUGCUGAACUGGAGCAGGGCCAUGUUUCUCAUUGAGAUGUUAUGUAAAACAUCUCAAUGAGGUUGCCUGCUUGCAGCUUUAUGAGUUCUUCAGUUUACAUACACCCUGCACUCACUUUAACGCUUAUGAAACCAAAGCAUUUUUAAAAUCCAUAGCGCUAACCCCUUCUAUUCAAUACUUACUUUCUUGGUGUUAUUUUCCUUGUUUGUUUUUGUUUUUGUUUUGUUUUGUUUUCCUGAUUCUACAGGUCUUAGAACUCCAGGAUGUUCCAUAAGUGUUUUUACUUGUGAGGAAUGAGAAGCCAUCCAUGGAAAUUUGAACUGAGUGGGGUCAGAGAAAGAGUGCAGAUCCCUUUGCUUGUGAAAGAAUUAUCAGUGAGUGAAAGGCCGUCACCCCAGGAAGCCAAAUGAGGGAGCAGCAACAUGUAUAUGAGCUUCCUAUGGAAUUGUCCUUAUGUGAAGCUUUGAAGGUGUGCAGCCACUCUCCCAGGUCUUCAGAUUCCUACCAUUUCCAUUUCUGUUAAAGUGGAUCUGCAUAUCUUCAGCUUACUAGGUGACCCUGAUGCUGACAUCUGCUGCUGCAGAAAGGAAGACUUUUCAUUGUAGUUUUGCUUAGACCCUUUUAUCAGUGGAGCUCCAGUUUUCUUACCUAGCUGUCACUUUUUUAAAUGCCUCUGGGGGUUAUUUUUGCUUUCCUUGGCCCCCACCAGUUUAUACAUCUCCAUUUUCUGACCUCUGGACUUUGUUGCUCAGCAAGGUUCUGAAGGAGAGUUUCUUGCAUUGGACAGGCCCAAUCUUCUCCCAUCAUUGCCCUGCUGUGACUCCAAAGAAAGGAGCUUCUUGCUGACAGUGCCCUGUGGAGCAAGGCUGUGUUUCCUACCCCACACGGUGCUCAGUGGGUGCCAGCCCUCAGUGUUGCUUUGUGAUUGCUGCCCUAAAGGAGAAUGCUCUUUCCUUCCUCACUGGUACUGCCUGCUGUUUUCUAAGCAUUGCUCCUGCACAGACAUGGAGUCCCAGCCCCAGCAAGGCUCUUCUGUUCCCAUCUGUUGGCAAUGUCUUGUGGAGCAUUUUUGCUGAAGAAAAGGUCACUUGUAAACAGAGGAGAAAGGGAAAGAGUACAAAGCCCUAAGUUUAUUGUAAGUGAAAACUGAGGGAAUUCCUGUCUUCUUUAGGAGUAAUGAUUCCUAGAUUUAGAUAGGUGGAAAUAUCAUUCAAAAUAGUCACUUAGGCUCACAAAAAAAGCAAGGAAGAAUUCUCAUGUCCUUUGUCUUCCUUCUGUAGCCAUUAACUGCUGAAUCCAUGUGAAGAAGACAGGCUUUCCUUCCUUCUCCCUCCUUAGUGAUUUUUUCUUUAACAGCAUAAGUAAAGAGGACUUUCUGGUUCAUUUUUGUUUGUUUUGUUUUGUUUUGUUUAGAGAUGAGGUCUUGCCGUGUUGCCCAGGCUGGAGUGCGGUGGCUAUUCACAGAUGCUAUCAUAGCACACUACAGCCUCCAACUCUUGGGCUCAAGCAUCACGCCUAGCAGUUUCUGGUUCCUUUAACAGCAAAAGGAAAGAGAGGUUCUGAUUCUUACCUCAGGGUUUUUUGGUUGUUCAUUGUUUUUGUUUUAGUUUUAGUUUUGACACUCCAGAGCACAAGGCUAAAGGUUACAGCUGAGAUCUUUGGAACCAAAGGCAGAGCAAGCAGAGCCCGUUGUCUGGGCCCCACACCACUGCAGGCAGGUGGAUAGAAGUGCGGCCCCUCUCAUAGUAUGCCCAUAAGUCAGGGCAUAGGGCAGAACUACCUGUCAUGUUGCUAUACCAUCCUGUCUUCUCAGCAUCUCCUUGCCUGUUUUCUUUAUUAGUCCAAAGGAAAACAACAGCAACAAAAUCUGUUUUUAAAAUGUCUUAUAUGAACAUAUAUCAAAUAUCCAUGUGCUGAAACCCACAUACCAUCACUUGGCAAUUUUUUAGAAUAAGACCCCAUUAUUAUCUAUUGCUAUAAACCUAGCCAGCUCUCUUGCUCUUCUGUAUUUUCCUAUUUCCCUGCCAUCAUCUGCUAUUUCUGCCACUUCUCUUAGACUCCUUGUCUGCAAAGCCCAAGCUAGAACUCACUGUCUAUGGCAGAAGGACAUCCAGAGCCCAUUCUGGAGUUUUGUUUUUUCCUUCUGCCAGAUGCUUUCUGUCCUCUCUUCCUUCCUCCUCAUAUUUCUGUUUCUCAUUUGUGUUCAGUUUUGUGCAGCAUUGCUAGCACUGCUUUUGUGACCAGAAAAGGCCAUAACAUGGUCCAGGAUCAUCAUUCUUCUGACUCUAGAUGGGACACUUGGCAGUGACUUGAAACAUUUGCAUAUUCAGGAAUACAUGAGAUCUCAAGAGAGCCUACAGUAUGAAAUCAUUUUCACAAAAUAAGCAGCUUGCUUUUUUUUUUUUUUUUUUUAAAUGCUGUCUGUCCCAGUAGCUACUCACCUGCCUCUGGUGGCUGGGAUUCAGAUGCCACAAAACUGUCAGUAUCUAUAGACCAGGUCUAUGCCACCUCCUCUCUCCUCUGUGCUCAAUGAGGAGGCAGUAAAUGCAGUUACAGGCUAGCACAAUACCUAAUUCAUGUUUCCCAGUACACCUGUACAUAUUACUGUACUUUUAUGUUCUCAAGAAAUAAGCUGUUGCCUAUUCAGUGUUACAGAUUUCUUCAUUUCUUUUUAAUUAAAAUGCAAGGAGCAGCUGAGGAAAGGGAGACACGGUAUUUUAUUUCUGACUGAUUUUAGAAAAAACUUGUGUACAUGUGUUUGGAACUGUUGAAAUGCCAAGUUUUCUGUAUAAGUGUUUUUGUAAUUAAACUUUCAGAUUUUCUUUGUUUUUUAAGAAGUUGAUGUGCUUGUUUGACAUUUGUCUCAUUAAAACUUUUCUACGUUGAAUUCA